UGCGUAGGGUGCGAGCGUUAAUCGGAAUUACUGGGCGUAAAGCGUGCGCAGGCGGUUCGUUAAGUCAGAUGUGAAAGCCCCGGGCUCAACCUGGGAACUGCAUUUGAAACUGGCGGGCUUGAGUGUGGCAGAGGGGGGUGGAAUUCCGCGUGUAGCAGUGAAAUGCGUAGAGAUGCGGAGGAACACCGAUGGCGAAGGCAGCCCCCUGGGCCAACACUGACGCUCAGGCACGAAAGCGUGGGGAGCAAACAGG
rnacentral:rRNA from 1 species